UUGGAAAAGAAGCCCUUCGAUCUGCCGGCCCAAAAAUCUGACGGAGUUGUAGUAAGCCCUAAUAUAUCAAUUGAGAGCGAUGACAACGUCUGCUACUGCAUAUCAUUUAUGCUUCGUCGGUUCAUCCUUCUUGCAAAUUAUUCUCUCUGUUUCAUGUGAGAAACUCAACAAAAUACAAAUUCCACCAAUCUGGAGAGCAAUUAAAUUGAUGAUUGAGAGUUUAUCACUCAGUAGAACAAGUCAAGACAAGUGAUCAAAGAUCCUGCCAUAUGUGAAUAUCAAAGAGGAGAGUUUGAUUUUACUCUAGCAGAAAAUUGCUCGACUUUCUCAAGUAUGACUAUAUCAGUCUUUUUGUUUAAUUUAAUAUUAUACAUUGCCCUGAUUAUUAUCUAGCUAAUAUCUCGUGAACUUUCUUCUAUUUUGCUACAUGUCAGCCAUUCA